rnacentral:rRNA from 1 species
UACAGAGGGUGCUAGCGUUGUUCGGAAUCAUUGGGCGUAAAGGGCGUGUAGGCGGUUUGUUAAGUCAUGUGUGAAAGCCCCCGGCUCAACCGGGGAACGACGCAUGAAACUGGCAAGCUAGAGUACCGAAGAGGGGGGUGGAAUUCCCGGUGUAGCGGUGAAAUGCGUAGAUAUCAGGAGGAACACCAAUUGCGAAGGCAGCUCGCUGGGACGUUACUGACGCUGAGACGCGAAAGCGUGGGGAGCAAACAGG